AUUGAACGCUGGCGGCAGGCUUAACACAUGCAAGUCGAGCGGAGAUGAGGUGCUUGCACCUUAUCUUAGCGGCAGACGGGUGAGUAAUGCUUAGGAAUCUGCCUAUUAGUGGGGGACAACAUUCCGAAAGGAAUGCUAAUACCGCAUACGCCCUACGGGGGAAAGCAGGGGAUCUUCGGACCUUGCGCUAAUAGAUGAGCCUCAGUCGGAUUAGCUAGUUGGUGGGGUAAAGGCCUACCAAGGCGACGAUCUGUAGCGGGUCUGAGAGGAUGAGCCGCCACACUGGGACUGAGACACGGCCCAGACUCCUACGGGAGGCAGCAGUGGGGAAUAUUGGACAAUGGGCGGAAGCCUGAUCCAGCCAUGCCGCGUGUGUGAAGAAGGCCUUUUGGUUGUAAAGCACUUUAAGCGAGGAGGAGGCUACCUGGAUUAAUACUCUAGGAUAGUGGACGUUACUCGCAGAAUAAGCACCGGCUAACUCUGUGCCAGCCGCCGCCGUAAAAC
rnacentral:rRNA from 1 species